AAAUUGAAGAGUUUGAUCAUGGCUCAGAUUGAACGCUGGCGGCAGGCCUAACACAUGCAAGUCGAACGGUAACAGGAAGCAGCUUGCUGCUUUGCUGACGAGUGGCGGACGGGUGAGUAAUGUCUGGGAAACUGCCUGAUGGAGGGGGAUAACUACUGGAAACGGUGGCUAAUACCGCAUAACGUCGCAAGACCAAAGAGGGGGACCUUCGGGCCUCUUGCCAUCAGAUGUGCCCAGAUGGGAUUAGCUAGUUGGUGAGGUAACGGCUCACCAAGGCGACGAUCCCUAGCUGGUCUGAGAGGAUGACCAGCCACACUGGAACUGAGACACGGUCCAGACUCCUACGGGAGGCAGCAGUGGGGAAUAUUGCACAAUGGGCGCAAGCCUGAUGCAGCCAUGCCGCGUGUAUGAAGAAGGCCUUCGGGUUGUAAAGUACUUUCAGCGGGGAGGAAGGUGUUGUGGUUAAUAACCGCAGCAAUUGACGUUACCCGCAGAAGAAGCACCGGCUAACUCCGUGCCAGCAGCCGCGGUAAUACGGAGGGUGCAAGCGUUAAUCGGAAUUACUGGGCGUAAAGCGCACGCAGGCGGUCUGUCAAGUCGGAUGUGAAAUCCCCGGGCUCAACCUGGGAACUGCAUUCGAAACUGGCAGGCUUGAGUCUUGUAGAGGGGGGUAGAAUUCCAGGUGUAGCGGUGAAAUGCGUAGAGAUCUGGAGGAAUACCGGUGGCGAAGGCGGCCCCCUGGACAAAGACUGACGCUCAGGUGCGAAAGCGUGGGGAGCAAACAGGAUUAGAUACCCUGGUAGUCCACGCCGUAAACGAUGUCUACUUGGAGGUUGUGCCCUUGAGGCGUGGCUUCCGGAGCUAACGCGUUAAGUAGACCGCCUGGGGAGUACGGCCGCAAGGUUAAAACUCAAAUGAAUUGACGGGGGCCCGCACAAGCGGUGGAGCAUGUGGUUUAAUUCGAUGCAACGCGAAGAACCUUACCUGGUCUUGACAUCCACAGAACUUUCCAGAGAUGGACUGGUGCCUUCGGGAACUGUGAGACAGGUGCUGCAUGGCUGUCGUCAGCUCGUGUUGUGAAAUGUUGGGUUAAGUCCCGCAACGAGCGCAACCCUUAUCCUUUGUUGCCAGCGAUUAGGUCGGGAACUCAAAGGAGACUGCCAGUGAUAAACUGGAGGAAGGUGGGGAUGACGUCAAGUCAUCAUGGCCCUUACGACCAGGGCUACACACGUGCUACAAUGGCGCAUACAAAGAGAAGCGACCUCGCGAGAGCAAGCGGACCUCAUAAAGUGCGUCGUAGUCCGGAUUGGAGUCUGCAACUCGACUCCAUGAAGUCGGAAUCGCUAGUAAUCGUGGAUCAGAAUGCCACGGUGAAUACGUUCCCGGGCCUUGUACACACCGCCCGUCACACCAUGGGAGUGGGUUGCAAAAGAAGUAGGUAGCUUAACCUUCGGGAGGGCGCUUACCACUUUGUGAUUCAUGACUGGGGUGAAGUCGUAACAAGGUAACCGUAGGGGAACCUGCGGUUGGAUCACCUCCUUACCUUAAAGAA
rnacentral:rRNA from 2 species